GAUGAACGCUGGCGGCGUGCUUAACACAUGCAAGUCGAACGAAGAUGCCGGAGUGCUUGCACUUUGGCAGACUGAGUGGCGGACGGGUGAGUAACGCGUGGGUAACCUGCCUUAUACAGGGGGAUAACAGUUGGAAACGACUGCUAAUACCGCAUAAGCGCACGGUAUCGCAUGAUACAGUGUGAAAAACUCCGGUGGUAUAAGAUGGACCCGCGUCUGAUUAGCUUGUUGGUAAGGUAACGGCCCACCAAGGCGACGAUCAGUAGCCGGCCUGAGAGGGUGAACGGCCACAUUGGGACUGAGACACGGCCCAGACUCCUACGGGAGGCAGCAGUGGGGAAUAUUGCACAAUGGGGGAAACCCUGAUGCAGCGACGCCGCGUGAGUGAUGAAGUAUUUCGGUAUGUAAAACUCUAUCAGCAGGGAAGAUAAUGACGGUACCUGACUAAGAAGCACCGGCUAAAUACGUG
rnacentral:rRNA from 1 species